rnacentral:rRNA from 1 species
GAUGAACGCUGGCGGCGUGCUUAACACAUGCAAGUCGAACGAUGAAGCCCAGCUUGCUGGGUGGAUUAGUGGCGAACGGGUGAGUAACACGUGAGUAACCUGCCCUUAACUCUGGGAUAAGCCUGGGAAACUGGGUCUAAUACCGGAUAGGAGCGCCUACCGCAUGGUGGGUGUUGGAAAGAUUUAUCGGUUUUGGAGGGACUCGCGGCCUAUCAGCUUGUUGGUGAGGUAAUGGCUCACCAAGGCGACGACGGGUAGCCGGCCUGAGAGGGUGACCGGCCACACUGGGACUGAGACACGGCCCAGACUCCUACGGGAGGCAGCAGUGGGGAAUAUUGCACAAUGGGCGAAAGCCUGAUGCAGCGACGCCGCGUGAGGGAUGACGGCCUUCGGGUUGUAAACCUCUUUCAGUAGGGAAGAAGCGAAAGUGACGGUACCUGCAGAAGAAGCACCGGCUAACUACGUG